UACGUAGGUGGCACGCGUUGUCCGGAAUUAUUGGGCGUAAAGCGCGCGCAGGCGGGCCUUUAAGUCGGAUGUGAAAGCCCACGCCUCAACCGCGGAGGGUCAUUGGAAACUGGAGGACUUGAGUGCAGAAGAGGAAAGUGGAAUUCCAUGUGUAGCGGUGAAAUGCGUAGAGAUGUGGAGGAACACCAGUGGCGAAGGCGACUGUCUGGUCUGUAACUGACGCUGAGGCGCGAAAGCGUGGGGAGCAAACAGG
rnacentral:misc_RNA from 1 species